AUAUGAUCAACUACAAGGGCGAAACCAAUACCAAACAAGGUGAGGAGGAAGUCAACAGUAGAAACUAUAACGAACCUCACCCCAUGAAAGACACUCAUCCCAUUGAUCCAGGGGAUGCACAUGAUAACUACCUCAUGUUAAUUAGUGGCACCAAUGUAGAAGAAGACCAAAACAACGGAGUUAUAUUUACCGAAACCCCUGAUCACAUAAUAGACUCAUCAUCCCAAGAUGAAGGAGAGGAAGGAACUUCGGAGGAUGGCGACUAUGAAGAUGAGAUGAGCACUGAAGGAUCUGAUGAUUUCGAGAGUUUGGAUAGUGAGAGCCCGUAAAAGGAUAAUCACCAGAACAAACCAGACACUAAUAUAGCCCAUACCACCGAUGAACAAGCCACUCAACUGGUUGAAGCUCUUACUUUUAGACCUCAAAAUCUUGUGGACGUCAAUGUCUAUGAUGAUUUUGACAAUAUGAUAGACAAAACUCAUUUAUCCCCAAGGGGAAAAGAAAGAGGAAGGGGAAGAAACAACACAAGGGGUAGAUAUAACACACGGGGAAGAGGUGGAAGAACCACUAACCAACUAGCUGUGGGACAACCACAGGAUCAAAUAAACUCCGAUUAACUUAUGAUGUUUAAGUCCUUAUAUUGAAAUAUUAGAAGCAUCACCUCCAGUGGUGCUUUUGAUAGACUCAAGCAGA
rnacentral:lncRNA from 1 species